UGGGGAAUUUUGCACAAUGGGGGAAACCCUGAUGCAGCGACGCCGCGUGAUUUAGAAGGCCUUCGGGUUGUAAAAAUCUUUUCUAUGGGAAGAAAAUGACAGUACCAUAGGAAUAAGGACCGGCUAAUUACGUGCCAGCAGCCGCGGUAAUACGUAAGGUCCGAGCGUUGUCCGGAAUCAUUGGGCGUAAAGGGUACGUAGGCGGGUAAGCAAGUUAGAAGUGAAAUCCUAUAGCUCAACUAUAGUAAGCUUUUAAAACUGCUCAUCUUGAGGUAUGGAAGGGAAAGUGGAAUUCCUAGUGUAGCGGUGAAAUGCGCAGAUAUUAGGAGGAAUACCGGUGGCGAAGGCCACUUUCUGGCCAUAACCUGACGCUGAGGUACGAAAGCGUGGGUAGCAAACAGG
rnacentral:rRNA from 1 species